UACGGCCUCAUCAAGUUGAAACAACGAUUCCCGUACGAUUACUGAAGUUAAGCAACGUCGAGCCUAACCAGUACCUUGAUGGGUGACCGUUUGAUAAUACCACGUGCUGUAAGC